rfam:Ovis aries breed Texel chromosome 2, whole genome shotgun sequence.
UCCUUGGUGGUCCAGUGGAUAAGACUCUGUGCUUCCAAUGCUGGGUCCUGGGUUCAAUCCCCAGCCAGGGAA